CUUCCUAUUGCAUCCUCGCGACUAAUGACAAUCCUUAUCCCCCUGGAUAAAGCCUCUCAUUAGCCGCGCGAAUCUCAGCAAUUGAAGAAUCUUCAUCAGCAACAACACAUUACCUUGAACGGUUAUCGCUGCCUAGAAGAAAGGGGCCGCAUAAGGCCCCUUUCU
rnacentral:sRNA from 1 species